GAUGAACGCUGACAGCAUGCUUAACACAUGCAAGUCCACUGGAAUUUGGGUUUUUAACUUAGGUUUGGGUGGCGGACGGGUGAGUAACGCGUAAAGAACUUGCCUCCCAGCUAGGGACAACAUUUGGAAACGAAUGCUAAUACCUAAUAUUAUGAUAAUAGGGCAUUCUAUAAUUAUGAAAGCUAUAAGCGCUGUGAGAGAGCUUUGCGUCUCAUUAGCUAGUUGGUGAGGUAACGGCUCACCAAGGCGAUGAUGGGUAGCCGGCCUGAGAGGGUGAUCGGCCACAAGGGAACGGAGACACGGCCCUUACUCCUACGGGAGGCAGCAGUGGGGAAAAUUGGACAAUGGACCGAGAGUCUGAUCCAGCAAUUCUGUGUGCACGAUGAAGUUUUUCGGAAUGUAAAGUGCUUUCAGUUGGGAAGAAACAAAUGACGGUACCAACAGAAGAAGCGACGGCUAAAUACGUG
rnacentral:rRNA from 1 species